CGUCAAAUCAUCAUGCCCCUUAUGUCUUGGGCUACACACGUGCUACAAUGGCCGGCACAAAGUGACGCGAACCCGCGAGGGGGAGCCAACCACAGAAAAGCGGCCCCAGUUCGGAUUGCAGGCUGCAACCCGCCUGCAUGAAGUUGGAAUCGCUAGUAAUCGCGAAUCAGCAUGUCGCGGUGAAUACGUUCCCGGGCCUU
rnacentral:rRNA from 1 species